rnacentral:rRNA from 1 species
GACGAACGCUGGCGGCGUGCUUAACACAUGCAAGUCGAACGGUGAAGCAGAGAAAUGCGUACUUCGUUGCAAAUCUCACGUGGGAGUAGUAGCAGACGGGUGUGUAACGCGUUUGCAACCUACCUCUUACAAAUGGAUAUCCUCCGGAAUCCGUGAUCAAUACCAUAUGACAGAUUCAUAAGGCUUCUUCAGAAUGUUAAAGCUACGCCGGUAAGGGAUGGGCUCGCGUCCUAUUAGCUAGUUGGGAAGGUAACGGCCCCCCAAGGCGAGGAUGGGUACCCGGCCGGAGAGGGUGCACCGUGACACUGGAACUGCGACACGGUCCAAACUGGUAGGAGAGGGGGCAGAGGGGGAUAUAGCGCAAUGGAGCGGAAUCUGAUGCAGCGACGGCGGGUGAGCGAUGAAGGGGUUCGUUACGUAAAGCUCUGUUCUAUGGGCAGAAAAGGACUGUACCAGAGGAGAAAGCACCGGCUAACUACGUG